GCCCCUGUAGCUCAAGAGGAUAGAGCAACGGCCUCCUAAGCCGUUUGUUGCCGGUUCGAGUCCGGCCAGGGGCA
rnacentral:tRNA from 1 species